rnacentral:lncRNA from 1 species
GUUUAACGUCCUGAGGUUUGGGGGUUAUGACACUGCUAUCUGAUACUAGCUAAUUGAUACACAUACCAAGUAACUGCAAGAAUGUAUAAGAACUUCGUAGUGGACACUGGCCAGGACACUCACCCUUCAGGGCACUCACCAACAACAGAGAGAAGGGGAAUGGCUGGAAGAACUGUCUAGAAGGUCCAAAUUCUUAAAACUGGUGUGUGGUUACAUUACUGUGACAAAAUACCCACGUUUAUCAACUUAAGAAAAGUUUCAGAGGUUUCAGUCCAUGCAAUGAGCCCGUUGGACCUGUGGCAAGGCUGCACACCAGGUCAUGAGCCUGUGGAGCAGGGAAGAGAGAGACAGGAAGGGGCAGGGAUGCCAGUACCUGCUUCAAGGACACACCCCCAAGGACCUCACUUCCUCCCACUAGGCCCCACCUCCUAGAGGCUCCACCCCUUCCAAUGGUGCUCAAGCUGGGGACCAAGCCUUCAGCACCUUUGGGGGACAUUCCACAUUGAACCUGUAGCAACUGGCAUGCCAGAGACAGAACUUCAGGAUCUGGAGCAAAAUUUGAACACUUCUAUCCUUGAAUCCAGGUAGGAGUCUGCAGAUUAAACACGUCCACAAGGGGCUGGGAUGUAGCUCAGUUGGUACCGUGCUUACCUCGAAUGCACAAGGCCCUGGUCCAGUCCCCAGCAUCACUAAAUGCCGCAGUCUGGCUGGGCACAAUUCAGGAGACACUUGUCAAAAGAAACGAACUUUAUUUUUAGAACCACACACGCCAAACCACACAGCUCCUCAGGAAAACCUUCAGAGCCCAACUGCCACCACCGGCUUCCCACAAGCCUCUCUACCUCCCCAACUCCUCCUGCUCUUGAGGCUGAUUGGCUGGGUCCUGUGGGCGGAGCCAAAAAAAGUCCCCCAAUGAGCAGCUCCCUGGUCUGAAAGGGCGGGGAAACAGCCCAAUGAGCAUCACCGCAGAGGAACCAAUCAGUUGGCAGCUAGAAGUUUGCUGGGGCCGCUGUGAGCCAAUCAUCAACUGGCAGCUGGAAGUUUGCUGGGGCCCCUUCGGCUGUGGCUCUCAACAACUAAAAACAAACAAAAAAGCACGUCCACAAGUGCCUAACAAGAUAAAUGAAAAAAGGUAUGUUCGGGUUUAUUAUCGUGAAAUUUCAAAACACCAAGGAUUUGGAAGGAAUCCUAAAGGCCUCCGGAGCAGGAGCGAUAAGAAUUAGGUGGCUUCAUACCUCUCAUCAGAAAAGCCACAUGCUGGAAAUCACUAGUGCAAAGCUACAUUGAAAAUAAAACCCUAGUCCCAGCUCAGCUUGCUCUCAGAUUCGAUGACAAAAUCAAGUCUUGUUGAGUGCAAGUUCUCUCAAGUCACCCCGGUACCUCCUGACACAAAUCCUCACUGAAAAAAUAACCCCAGAGGUUAUAGUCCAACCAGGGGCUUCCUAGACCUUCAUAGAGCUCAGAUGUGAAUACAAAUGAAGAUUUCUGAAUGGUGACCCUUUCCCACCUUUCCUCCUACCCUGGGCUCCAUCUCCCAGCUCAUCAUGCGGACAGGAAUCCCAGAAGUCCAAGACCCCCACCCCCACCUGGAGCAGCCUCUCACCAGCGGGCCUCAGGUCUAGCGGGAAGUAUGGUCCGCUCUUGAGAGGUAAGGCCAAGAGAAGAGGGCUGCAGACACCCUGGAAGUGGCCUUGGGACACAUGGAAAGGGGAUCUGGAAUUCCAGGUUCUCAGAGUGUGUGCUGCAAGGCAGGGUCAUGAGCCUGGGUAGGCCUCUGGUAACUUCCACUCUCUGGGGAGGCGCUUGGCUUCGAGAGUAGAAGGGGCCCACAGCAGAGACCCAUCUGCCCAGGGGUAGGGGCAACACUAAGUCCAACAAAUGGGAAUUGAAUCCCAAAGAAGUCAUAGGCUAAAAUAAACCAACCAGGAAUAGAGAGAUGUACUGUGGAAUAGAGUGGACUGGUGCUCAUGGGCUUCAGCAUGUAAUAAUUAGAAUGACAUCGACAAAGCUCACAUUUGCUGAAGACUAACUUUGCACCAUGUUCCCUGCUCCAGGGUCUUACACGGUCCCCAAGGGUCCAGGUGUCUAGGGCUUGAUCACCAGCCUGUGGUGCUUCUGGGAGGUGGUGGAAUCUCUAGGGGGUGGGACUGAAUGGGAGGAAAUAAGGUCAAGUAUGCGGUUGAAG